rnacentral:tRNA from 1 species
AGAAAAGUAAGCUAAUUUAAGCUAAUGGGUUCAUACCCCAUCUAUGGAGUUAUUAUCUCCCUUUUCUA